rnacentral:rRNA from 1 species
AGUGAACGCUGGCGGUAGGCCUAACACACGCAAGUCGAACGGCAGCACAGAGGAGCUUGCUCCUUGGGUGGCGAGUGGCGGACGGGUGAGGAAUACAUCGGAAUCUACUCUGUCGUGGGGGAUAACGUAGGGAAACUUACGCUAAUACCGCAUACGACCUACGGGUGAAAGCAGGGGACCUUCGGGCCUUGCGCGAUUGAAUGAGCCGAUGUCGGAUUAGCUAGUUGGCGGGGUAAAGGCCCACCAAGGCGACGAUCCGUAGCUGGUCUGAGAGGAUGAUCAGCCACACUGGAACUGAGACACGGUCCAGACUCCUACGGGAGGCAGCAGUGGGGAAUAUUGGACAAUGGGCGCAAGCCUGAUCCAGCCAUACCGCGUGGGUGAAGAAGGCCUUCGGGUUGUAAAGCCCUUUUGUUGGGAAAGAAAUCCAGCUGGCUAAUACCCGGUUGGGAUGACGGUACCCAAAGAAUAAGCACCGGCUAACUUUGUGCCAGCAGCCGCGGUAA